UGUCCCAGCCGCCGCGGUAAUACAGAGGGUGCAAGCGUUAAUCGGAUUUACUGGGCGUAAAGCGCGCGUAGGCGGCUAAUUAAGUCAAAUGUGAAAUCCCCGAGCUUAGCUUGGGAAUUGCAUUCGAUACUGGUUAGCUAGAGUGUGGGAGAGGGUGGUAGAAUUCCAGGUGUAGCGGUGAAAUGCGUAGAGAUCUGGAGGAAUACCGAUGGCGAAGGCAGCCAUCCGGCCUAACACUGACGCUGAGGUGCGAAAGCAUGGGGAGCAAACAGGAUUAGAUACCCUGGUAGUCCAUGCCGUAAACGAUGUCUACUAGCCGUUGGGGCCUUUGAGGCUUUAGUGGCGCAGCUAACGCGAUAAGUAGACCGCCUGGGGAGUACGGUCGCAAGACUAAAACUCAAAUGAAUUGACGGGGGCCCGCACAAGCGGUGGAGCAUGUGGUUUAAUUCGAUGCAGCGCGAAGAACCUUACCUGGCCUUGACAUAGUAGGAACUUUCCAGAGAUGGAUUGGUGCCUUCGGGAACUUACAUACAGGUGCUGCAUGGCUGUCGUCAGCUCGUGUCGUGAGAUGUUGGGUUAAGUCCCGCAACGAGCGCAACCCUUUUCCUUAUUUGCCAGCGAGUAAUGUCGGGAACUUUAAGGAUACUGCCAGUGACAAACUGGAGGAAGGCGGGGACGACGUCUAGUCAUCAUGGCCCUUACGGCCAGGGCUACACACGUGCUACAAUGGUCGGUACAAAGGGUUGCUACCUAGCGAUAGGAUGCUAAUCUCAAAAAGCCGAUCGUAGUCCGGAUUGGAGUCUGCAACUCGACUCCAUGAAGUCAGAAUCGCUAGUAAUCGCGGAUCAGAAUGCCGCGGUGAAUACGUUCCCGGGCCUUGUACACACCGCCCGUCACACCAUGGGAGUUUGUUGCACCAGAAGUAGCUAGCCUAACUGCAAAGAG
rnacentral:rRNA from 1 species